CCUACGGGAGGCAGCAGUGAGGAAUAUUGGUCAAUGGCCGUAAGGCUGAACCAGCCAAGUAGCGUGAGGGAAGACUGCCCUAUGGGUUGUAAACCUCUUUUAUGCGGGGAUAAAGGUGUCCACGUGUGGCUGUUUGCAGGUACCGCAUGAAUAAGGACCGGCUAAUUCCGUGCCAGCAGCCGCGGUAAUACGGAAGGUCCGGGCGUUAUCCGGAUUUAUUGGGUUUAAAGGGAGCGUAGGCCGGUCUUUAAGCGUGCCGUGAAAUUUUGUGGCUCAACCAUGGGAGUGCGGCGCGAACUGGAGACCUUGAGUGCGCGGAAGGCAGGCGGAAUUCGUGGUGUAGCGGUGAAAUGCUUAGAUAUCACGAAGAACCCCGAUUGCGAAGACAGCCUGCCGUAGCGUUACUGACGCUGAAGCUCGAAAGUGCGGGUAUCGAACAGGAUUAGAUACCCGGGUAGUC
rnacentral:rRNA from 1 species